ACGUGGUCGGUCAUGGAAUCACGUUGGCUGUUCUCAUCAUCUCUCCCUCUCCAGCUUCUGGAGUUUUUGAUUUUUAUUGGUCCGCCGAUACGCCGAAAUUCGUCUCGUGGAGUAUGGUGUGAUUUUCUAUUAUAUCGGUUGUUAUUAUUCUCUGGAACGCUGUUGGAAAUAAAUGGUGCGUAACGGGACAAAGAAACAGAGAGAAAGAGCCGGAGAGCCGGGGGAGCUGGCAUAUAAUCGAAAUAUCUUUGUUUUUCUCCUCUUACGGUUCGUGUAUUCGUGGAAAUUGAAAUUACUCUCUGGCUGAACUCCAACCAUUCAUUAGACAUAGUCCUACGUCAACAAUCGAAAUACAACCGUUUCCGUGAAAGAUGUUCGAGAAAUGGUGUCAGUGCUUUUGAUCAAUUGAAUAAUGUCAGUUUAGUGCUGAUCUGAAAGUCAAGAUCAAAUCGGAAAAAUGUAAGGAGAUACUUUUGUAGUAGGAAGGACCACCAAGAUCCUGAAAAGUGCUGAAGGUUCGUGUAAUUUUGUAAUAGCAGCUAAAGGUUGUUCAUGAUUCAAUGUUGGCUUCGGGAGAACAAUACACAAGCUGGCCAUAUGUCGAAAUUUGUGUCCUUAUUGUCAAUGUACGUAGUGAACUCAGUAUAUAUCACGACCGUUAUUCUUCUUCUACGUGUGAGCAGGGUGCCGUGAAAUUUAUCAUUAAAAUUUAAAGAAAAAAUAAACCGGGUAAAUUUAAAGCACCCGAAAAACGUUUGCCGUCGGACGCUCGCCAACGCUCGA